rnacentral:tRNA from 2 species
GCCACUGUGGCUCAGCGGUAGAGCGGCGGUUUCGUAAACCGUAGGCCGGGGGUUCGAUUCCCUCCAGUGGCUCCA